rnacentral:rRNA from 1 species
GAUGAACGCUGGCGGCGUGCCUAAUACAUGCAAGUCGAGCGAACAGAUAAGGAGCUUGCUCCUUUGACGUUAGCGGCGGACGGGUGAGUAACACGUGGGUAACCUACCUAUAAGACUGGGAUAACUUCGGGAAACCGGAGCUAAUACCGGAUAACAUUUGGAACCGCAUGGUUCUAAAGUGAAAGAUGGUUUUGCUAUCACUUAUAGAUGGACCCGCGCCGUAUUAGCUAGUUGGUAAGGUAACGGCUUACCAAGGCGACGAUACGUAGCCGACCUGAGAGGGUGAUCGGCCACACUGGAACUGAGACACGGUCCAGACUCCUACGGGAGGCAGCAGUAGGGAAUCUUCCGCAAUGGGCGAAAGCCUGACGGAGCAACGCCGCGUGAGUGAUGAAGGGUUUCGGCUCGUAAAACUCUGUUGUUAGGGAAGAACAAACGUGUAAGUAACUGUGCACGUCUUGACGGUACCUAAUCAGAAAGCCACGGCUAACUACGUG